rnacentral:rRNA from 1 species
CCUACGGGAGGCAGCAGUGGGGAAUAUUGGGCAAUGGGCGCAAGCCUGACCCAGCAACGCCGCGUGAAGGAAGAAGGCUUUCGGGUUGUAAACUUCUUUUAUCAGGGACGAGUCGAGUGAGGGUACCUGCUGAAUAAGCCACGGCUAACUACGUGCCAGCAGCCCCGGUAAUACGUAGGUGGCAAGCGUGAUCCGGAUUUACUGGGUGUAAAGGGGGUGUAGGCGGGAAAGCAAGUCAGAUGUGAAAUCCAUGGGCUCAACCGGUGGCCUGCAUUUGAAACUGUUUUUCUUGAGUACUGGAGAGGCAGACGGAAUUCCUAGUGUAUCGGUGAAAUGCGUAGAUAUUAGGAGGAACACCAGUGGCGAAGGCGGUCUGCUGGACAGCAACUGACGCUGAGGCGCGAAAGCGUGGGGAGCAAACAGGAUUAGAUACCCUAGUAGUC